UAGUGACGCGCUCUCCGCCUUUAACCAGGCGCCCAAGCCUGACGAACAGAAAAGCAAACCAAUGAGAUUGGACGCCUCGCAGACGAAAGCCAAUAAAAAUAUCGCCCGCGAGCACGGGAGGCGGGCCACUGGGAAGGACAGCAAAAUUAGCUAAUGAGGCGAAGCGAUUGCAAGCGGUGUGGCUUUCCCGCCCAUUCGCGGCGUUGGUUUUCCCGCUUCUGAGACUUGUUUGGGGAGGUAAAGACUGUUGGACGUGCUUCUCCUGGUGGAUUUUCACAGACUGUGAAGAUUUAUUCGUCAUAGAACGUGUGGAUGAGGAGGGCGCUGGGUUUCAAGAGACGGAGUCCUGGGACUACAAGCGCGCGCCCCAAUGCCCAGCUAACUUUGUAUUUUUAAUAGAGACGGGGUUUCUCCGUGUUGCUCAGGCUGGUCUCGAACUCCUGACCUCAGGUGAUCUGCCCGCCUCUGCUUCCCGAAGUACUGGGAUUACAGGCGUGAGCCACCGCGCCCGGCGUGUAUUACAAAUUCUAAGAACACGAAGAUAAUGGGGCCGGCUUGGUGGCGCGGACCUGUAUCCUCAGCUACUGUCAAGACUGAGACAGGAGGAUCUCUUGAGCCCAGGAGGUCGAGGCUGCAGUGAGUCAUGAUCGCACCACUGCACUCCAGCUUGGGAGACAGACUGUACCCUGUCUAAAAAAAAAAAAAAAAAAAAAAAGGUUAAAAUUUGGAGGGUAACUCCCAGCUAGAAAGGAAGAAAAGCUCUGAAGUGGAAUCGCCUUCCCCCGGAAGCUGUUGUAAAAAUUAAAGGAUGUAUGUGAGUGCA